CGGGAUGUAGCGCAGUGGUAGCGCACCAGUUUCGGGUACUGGAGGUCGCGGGUUCAAAUCCCGCCAUCCCGA
rnacentral:tRNA from 1 species